GGCCCAGACUCCUACGGGAGGCAGCAGUGGGGAAUUUUGGACAAUGGGGGCAACCCUGAUCCAGCAAUGCCGCGUGUGUGAAGAAGGCCUUCGGGUUGUAAAGCACUUUUGUCCGGAAAGAAAUCGCACUUACUAAUAUUAGGUGUGGAUGACGGUACCGGAAGAAUAAGGACCGGCUAACUACGUGCCAGCAGCCGCGGUAAUACGUAGGGUCCAAGCGUUAAUCG
rnacentral:rRNA from 1 species